rnacentral:hammerhead_ribozyme from 1 species
AUCCAGAUGACGAGUCCAGAAAAAAUAGAACGAAAUGCGCAUCCUAGAU